AACGAAACCUGGGCUUCAGGCCCUCGCUCUCUCUUCAUCUCUACUGAAUUUCUUGCUUCUCCGAGAGUCUCUGGUUCAAUCUCCGAUCAGUUAAUUAGUGGAAAUGGAUAACCAUGAAGAUGAGUGCCGUGUUGCUGGCGAACCACAGGCCAAGCAAGAGGAUGAGGAAGCUGUGGCUCGACUUGUGGAAAUGAAAAAAUCAAUCGAGGCAAAAGUUUCUCUUCGUCAAAGCAAUUUGAAUCCCGAAAGGCCUGAUUCAGGAUUUCUCAGAACAUUGGAUUCAAGUAUUAAGCGUAAUACAGCAGUUAUUAAAAAAUUAAAGCAGAUAAAUGAAGAGCAGAGGGAAGGGCUAAUGGAUGAGUUGCGAAAUGUAAACCUUAGCAAAUUUGUUAGUGAAGCUGUAACGGCUAUUUGUGAUGCAAAGCUUAGAACUUCUGACUUACAAGCAGCAGUUCAGAUCUGCUCUUUGCUUCAUCAAAGGUACAAAGACUUCUCACCAAGCCUGGUUCAAGGGCUUUUAAAGGUCUUUUUCCCUGGAAAAUCGGGGGAAGACAUGGAUGUGGAUAGGAACUCAAAAGCUAUGAAGAAGCGGAGCACCUUGAAACUGCUACUGGAACUUUACUUUGUUGGAGUUAUAGAAGACAGCAGUAUUUUCAUCAAUAUCAUUAAGGAUCUUACUAGUGUGGAACACUUGAAGGACCGGGAUGCGACUCAGACAAAUCUAACUCUCCUUGCUAGUUUUGCUCGACAAGGGAGAAUUUUCCUAGGACUGCCUCUAUCUGGACAAGAAAUUCAUGAAGAGUUUUUCAAGGGCUUUAAUAUCACAGCAGAUCAAAAGAAAAUAUUCAGGAAAUCCUUUAAUACAUAUUUUGAUGCUGUAUCAGAAUUACUUCGGUCUGAGCACACUUCUCUUAGCCAAAUGGAGCAUGAAAAUACAAAGAUCUUGAAUGCUAAAGGAGAGCUCAGUGAUGAAAAUGUUGCAUCUUAUGAAAAGCUGCGAAAAUCUUAUGACAAUUUAUAUCGCCAUGUUUCAUCUUUGGCUGAAGCCCUUGACAUGCCACCUCCAGAGAUGCCAGAAGAUGGCCACACUACUAGGGUUACUACUGGAGAGGAUUCUCCGUCACCUGCUGUGGGGAAAGAUUCUUCUGUUCUUGAAGCUUUGUGGGAUGAUGAAGAUACUAGGGCAUUUUAUGAAUGCUUACCAGAUCUCAGAGCAUUUGUUCCAGCUGUGUUGUUGGGAGAAGCAGAGCCCAAAGUGAAUGAACAAUCUGCAAAGAGUCAAGAGCAACAGAGUGACGUGGCACCUGAAUCAGACCAAGGCCGACCUACUCAAGAUACUGCAGAUUCCUCUGCUGACUCUGGUACUUUCCAGGAGGGAAAAAGCAUUGAGAAAGGAAAGGAUAAGGAAGACAAGGAUAAAGAAAAAGCUAAAGAUCCAGAAAAAGAGAAGGGUAAAGAAAAGGAUGCAGAGAGAAAAGGAGAGAUUGAAAAGGAGAAACUCAAAGGUCUUGAAGGGACAAACUUGGAUGCUUUACUGCAGAGGCUCCCUGGUUGUGUCAGUCGUGAUCUUAUUGAUCAAUUGACUGUAAACAUACUGCUGCCUUCCCAAGACUUGCCAUACUAUGGAAUCUUUUUUUAAAAUUGAUGCACCUCUUUAAUGACCAUCUUAUCAAUUAUGUUCCUUGUCAAUAUUUUUUCAGGUAGAGUUUUGUUAUUUAAAUUCAAAGUCAAAUCGGAAAAAACUUGUGAAGGCAUUGUUUAAUGUACCCAGGACAUCUCUAGAACUGCUACCAUACUACUCUCGAAUGGUUGCCACACUAUCAACUUGUAUGAAGGACGUCUCUUCCAUUCUCGUACAGAUGUUAGAGGAGGAGUUCAAUUUCUUGUUAAAUAAGAAGGAUCAAAUGAACAUCGAAACAAAGAUCAGGAAUAUUAGAUUUAUUGGAGAACUCUGCAAGUUUAGAAUUGCACCAGCUGGCCUUGUCUUCAAUUGUUUGAAGGCUUGUUUAGAUGAUUUCACUCAUCAUAACAUUGAUGUUGCUUGCAAUCUUCUUGAGACAUGUGGCCGUUUUCUGUAUCGGUCUCCUGAAACUACUGUACGUAUGGCUAAUAUGUUAGAGAUAUUGAUGCGCCUGAAAAAUGUCAAAAAUUUGGAUCCCCGGCAUAGCACACUUGUAGAAAAUGCUUACUAUCUUUGCAAACCACCUGAAAGAUCAGCACGAGUGUCUAAAGUCCGCCCCCCACUAUUUCAGUAUAUUAGAAAAUUAUUAUUCUUGGAUUUAGACAAGUCUUCCAUUGAGCAUGUGCUGAGGCAACUUCGUAAAUUACCAUGGAGUGAAUGUGAGGCGUACCUUUUAAAGUGCUUUAUGAAAGUUCAUAAGGGCAGAUAUGGUCAAAUAAACUUAAUUGCUUCUCUUACUGCCGGUUUGAGCCGCUAUCAUGAUGAAUUUGCAGUUGCUGUUGUUGAUGAGGUUUUGGAGGAGAUCAGGGUUGGACUAGAAUUAAAUGAGUAUGGGAUGCAGCAGAGGCGCUUGGCCCACAUGCGGUUCUUAGGAGAGUUAUACAACUAUGAACUGGUGGAUUCAUCUGUAAUUUUUGAGACACUCUAUUUGAUCCUUGUUUUUGGUCAUGACACAACAGAGGUAUGGCAUUUGUCAUAUUAAUACAUUUCCAUAAAUGCGUGUGGUCAUAAUAUAUGCAAAGUUUAAGGAGAAAACAUUCCACUGGUGCAUAUGCCCUAAUAAUUUUCACAUCGGUUCAUCUUUAAUGAAAGGCGUGUCUUAAGAAUGCAUUAGUGUGAACUUGCUACUGGCUGCCUGUUUGGAGUAAGCUAAAGUGAAAAUAAGCAAAGACAUGCAUCUACUUCUUGUUAUCAAGAACAUCAUGCUUCUCUAAUAUGAACAGUAUAUUUGGAAGUUGCUGGAUGAUAAAUUAAUUAUUGAAAAGUAUGAAGCAUAUGAAUGCUUACAUCAUGCAAUAUAUGGUAUCAUUUGUCGAUUCUAAUCAUCCUCUUGAUGUACUUUUUUUUUUUAAUUAUUAUACUCGUGAUUAGCAAGAUGCACCAGAUCCACCGGAGGAUUGUUUUCGCAUUAGAAUGGUUAUCACUCUUCUUGAGACCUGUGGACACUACUUUGACCGAGGUUCUUCUAAGAGGAAACUUGAUCGUUUUUUAAUACACUUUCAGAGAUAUAUUCUCAGCAAAGGUGCACUGCCGCUUGACAUUGAAUUUGACUUGCAGGACUUAUUUGCGGAAUUACGCCCUAGCAUGAUGCGAUACUCAUCAAUUGAUGAAGUUAAUGCAGCUUUUAUAGAACUCGAGGAGAAUGAACAAAUUGGUUCAACUGAUAAGGUCAAUAGUGAGAAGCACUCUGACACUGAAAAGCCUUCUAGCAGGAAUGCUGCCAAUGCCAUUUCUGCCAAUGGACAAAAUCUUGUGAAUGGUAAUGAGGAAAAUGGUGGAAUCCAUGAGGACAUUGGUGAAAGUGACACUGAUUCAGGCAGCGACACCCUUGACCAGGAAGGGCAUGAUGAAGAGGAGUUGGACGAAGAGAAUCGUGAUGAUGGAUGUGAGACAGAGGAGGAGGAUGAUGAUGAUGGGGGUGGACCAGUUUCCGAUGAGGAUGAUGAAGUCCAUUUCAGACAAAAAGUGGCUGAGGUGGAUCCAUUGGAAGCUGAAAUUUUUGAGCAGGAGUUAAAGGCAGUAUUGCAGGAGAGCAUGGAGCAGCGCAGGCAAGAGCUGCGGGGUCGGCCAACAUUGAAUAUGGUGAUACCUAUGAGCUUGUUUGAGGGGUCCACCAAAGAUUAUGGGAGGGCAGUUGGAGGGGAAAGUGGUGAUGAGGCACUGGAUGAUGAGACAGGAGGUAGCAAGGAGGUUCAGGUGAAAGUACUUGUGAAGCGUGGGAACAAGCAACAGACAAAGCAGAUGUACAUUCCUAGAGAUUGCACACUUGUGCAGAGCACGAAACAGAAAGAAGCAGCUGAGUUUGAAGAGAAACAAGAUAUUAAGAGGCUUGUCUUGGAGUAUAAUGAUAGAGAAGAGGAGGAGAAUAAUGGGUUAGGAACGCAGACAUUGAAUUGGAUGCCUAGCAGCAGCAACAGAGUUGGCAGCCGUGGCAGUACGUGGGAAGGAAGCAGUGGUAGAGGUGCUGGAUCACGACAUCGGCAUCAGCAUCAGCAUCAGCAUCAAUCAGGCAGUGGAGUUUAUCAUGGCAGAAGAAGGUAACUGACAGCAGAAGGAAGUACGUUGACAUGUUGGCACUUUCGUCCCAAUGGUAGUGUAACCCGUUACAGAUGAAAACGGGUCUUGGACUCAAAUUCAUGGCACCCAAGUUCCCACUCAGUGAUUGAAUAGCUGCAUUUACCCGUUGAGGUCUGUAGUGAGGCGAUACAUUACUCCCACUACAGAUGCCCAAACAAGUGAUGCGUAAGCUAUGUCAAUGCAAGGAUUAUUGACAAGGUUAGUGUCCAGAAUUUUGUUUGUUGGAGGAAGGUAGUGGUUAUGCUGAAUACAUACUAUACAGAAGAUUGUCACCCAUGAUUUGCACGAUGGUGAUUCCUAAAUAUGCUCAGUAGGGUGCUUAUAGUUUAGUCUUUACAUAAUGUUGCUGGGUGAGUCAGUUUCUUUUGUUGUAUAUAUAUCAAAAGUAAAAGGUUUCAUCUUAGUCACUAUCUGAGAUUUUACAUUAUAGUUUCUGUGGUUUGUAUUGUAUUGUAUAGACCACCGGAUGGCUAACAAAAAUUAUCAGAAUGGCAUGUUAUCUAGAAUGUAUGAAUCUUAGGUCGUAAGAUGUUGAUUUCUAUAGAGCUUAAAACUAUUGAACUUUCUUUGUUUGUGAUCUGUGGCAUUAAUUUCUAC
rnacentral:misc_RNA from 1 species